GCUGCUCGGACAAUCACACACCUCUUCGUGGUGAGCAGCAGGCAACGAUCUGUGAUCGGCAGAGAUGUGAUA
rnacentral:ribozyme from 1 species